AUUGUAUUUAUUGUUUCAUUUUAGCUUCUAUUUUUAAAAAUAUUUUUUUUAUUUAUUUGAGAGAGAGAGAGUGAGCAUGAGCAGGGGGAGGAACAAAGGGAGAGGGAGAAGCAGACCCCUUGCUGAGCAGAGCACCCCACAUGGGGCUCCAUCCCAGGACCCUGAGAUCAUGACCUGAGCUGAAAGCAGACACUCAACUGAUUGAAUCAACCUCGCGCCCCUUAGCUUCUAUUGUUAAACAUGGUUUUAGCUAGCUAUUGUAAAAUAAUGCCACUUAAAAAAGCCUCCAUAGCACAGAAGAUAAGCAUUUACUUCUGGCAUAUUAAAUUGUGGGUCAGUGGUCAUGGCUUUGCCUUAGGGUUGGUGCUAGGGCAAGCCACCUUCCUAAAGCUUAUUUUUGGCUAUAGUAGAGUUUGCAAGAGUGUAAACCCCAUAUAUAAACACUUUUAAAACACUGCUCACUUCACAUUUAUUGAUUUUACAUUGGCCAAAACAUGUCCUGUAGCCAGAUACGAUGUCCAGGACAGAGCACCUGACAAGGUGCACAGGACAUGAGGCUCAGACCACCUGUUCACCAGCUCACCUGAGCACCUAGUGUCCUCUUGCCUUUUUGUCCUAUGGUCCUACCAUUGCUAUGUCUCGCAAUUAUGGAAUGAAUGAUACUUUGUUGUAUAAACCCUUGUCAAGAUUUUCUCUCUCCAGAGUGGGUCAAUUCUCUACUCCACAUCCCAUCAGGACUGACACCAGCCUGGGACUCAGGGGCACAUGGUCAGGCUUCCGUUGGUAUUUCUGCAGCUGGAAAGUUUGCAAUGUCUCAAACUCUUCCAAAAGUUUGAAGAAGAAGGAACACUUCUUAUGUCACUGUUGAGGCCAGCAUGAUCCCGACACCAAAGUCAGACGAAGAUACUGCAAGAGGAGAAAACCACAGACCAAUAUAUCCUUUAUGAAUGUAGAUGGAAAAAUACUCAGCUUAUUAGCAAUCUGAUUUCAGCAACAUAUCAGAAAGAUUAUCUACCAUGACCAAAUGGGAUUUGUCCCAGAGAUAUAAGGGUGGCUUAAGAGAUAAAACACAAUUAUUAUAUUCCUCAAAAAAUUAAAAUAGAAAUACCAUAUGACCCAGUAAUUCUACUGAAAUUCCAGUGAGUAUUUACUCAGGGAAACUGGAAACAGGAAUUCAAAAAGAUCCCUGCACCCCUGUGUUCAUUGCAGCAUUACUGACAAUGGCUAAGGUGUGGAAGCAGCCCAAGUGUCCAUCGACAGACGAAUGGAUAAAGAAGAUGAUGUUUUUAUAUGAUGAAACAUUACACAGGUAUUAAAAAAUUAAACCUUGCCAUCCAUGAC
rnacentral:lncRNA from 1 species